AACAAGUAGACCUUCGCCAACACACUGCUUGAAAGACAGGAUAACUUGAUCAACAGCUACGACAAAGUACAGCUUCAAACUGUAUGUGUGCAUGCAAAUUCUCCUACCUCCAGGUCAUCCAGAGAGCGGGCCAGGCUGAGACGUUUGGAGCGUCCAAAGGAGCGUCUGGCUGAGGAGCGCUGGGGGAGAGGAGGGAAGCCCAUGGUGAGACCACGGAACCGACCACCCUGAGGAGAGAAAAUAUACACAGGUUCAGUACAUGCAGCUCUCUCCCUGUCUCCACCAAACAGCUUCUUAGCCCACUCAUCUUUGUGAGCAGCCAGCCGGUGGGUGUGGGGAUGUGCAGGAGGAGGAGGCUGGCUCCCUCCAGGUGGUGGCAGGUGGUCCCCGGGGGCCAGUG